GACGAACGCUGGCGGCGUGCUUAACACAUGCAAGUCGAACGGGAUCCGGGCUUUCGGGUUUGGUGAGAGUGGCGAACGGGUGAGUAACACGUGAGUAACCUGCCCCCUUCUUUGGGAUAACGUCGGGAAAUCGGCGCUAAUACUGGAUAUUCUUGCUGCAUCGCAUGGUGUGGUUUGGAAAGGGUUUCUGGUGGGGGAUGGGCUCGCGGCCUAUCAGCUUGUUGGUGGGGUGAUGGCCUACCAAGGCUUUGACGGGUAGCCGGCCUGAGAGGGUGUCCGGCGACACUGGGACUGAGACACGGCCCAGACUCCUACGGGAGGCAGCAGUGGGGAAUAUUGGACAAUGGGCGCAAGCCUGCUGCAGCGACGCCGCGUGAGGGAUGACGGCCUUCGGGUUGUAAACCUCUUUCAGUAUGGAACAAGGAUCCUUCCUUUGGGGGGUUUGAGGGUACGUGCAGAAGAAGCGCCGGCUAACUACGUG
rnacentral:rRNA from 1 species